AGAGUUUGAUCCUGGCUCAGGACGAACGCUGGCGGCACGCUUAACACAUGCAAGUCGAACGAGAGAAGAGGAGCUUGCUUUUCUGAUCUAGUGGCAGACGGGUGAGUAACACGUGAGCAAUCUGCCUUUCAGAGGGGGAUACCGAUUGGAAACGAUCGUUAAUACCGCAUAACAUAAUUGAACCGCAUGAUUUGAUUAUCAAAGAUUUAUCGCUGAAAGAUGAGCUCGCGUCUGAUUAGCUAGUUGGUAAGGUAACGGCUUACCAAGGCGACGAUCAGUAGCCGGACUGAGAGGUUGAUCGGCCACAUUGGGACUGAGACACGGCCCAGACUCCUACGGGAGGCAGCAGUGGGGAAUAUUGCACAAUGGAGGAAACUCUGAUGCAGCGAUGCCGCGUGAGGGAAGAAGGUUUUAGGAUUGUAAACCUCUGUCUUCAGGGACGAAAAAAGACGGUACCUGAGGAGGAAGCUCCGGCUAACUACGUGCCAGCAGCCGCGGUAAUACGUAGGGAGCGAGCGUUGUCCGGAAUUACUGGGUGUAAAGGGAGCGUAGGCGGGAUCGCAAGUCAGAUGUGAAAACUAUGGGCUUAACCCAUAAACUGCAUUUGAAACUGUGGUUCUUGAGUGAAGUAGAGGUAAGCGGAAUUCCUAGUGUAGCGGUGAAAUGCGUAGAUAUUAGGAGGAACAUCAGUGGCGAAGGCGGCUUACUGGGCUUUAACUGACGCUGAGGCUCGAAAGCGUGGGGAGCAAACAGGAUUAGAUACCCUGGUAGUCCACGCCGUAAACGAUGAUUACUAGGUGUGGGGGGACUGACCCCUUCCGUGCCGCAGCAAACGCAAUAAGUAAUCCACCUGGGGAGUACGACCGCAAGGUUGAAACUCAAAGGAAUUGACGGGGGCCCGCACAAGCAGUGGAGUAUGUGGAUUAAUUCGAAGCAACGCGAAGAACCUUACCAGGUCUUGACAUCGUAUGCAUAGCUCAGAGAUGAGUGAAAUCUCUUCGGAGACAUAUAGACAGGUGGUGCAUGGUUGUCGUCAGCUCGUGUCGUGAGAUGUUGGGUUAAGUCCCGCAACGAGCGCAACCCUUACUGUUAGUUGCUACGCAAGAGCACUCUAGCAGGACUGCCGUUGACAAAACGGAGGAAGGUGGGGAUGACGUCAAAUCAUCAUGCCCCUUAUGACCUGGGCCUCACACGUACUACAAUGGCUGUCAACAGAGGGAAGCAAAGCCGCGAGGUGGAGCGAACCCCUAAAAGCAGUCUUAGUUCGGAUUGUAGGCUGCAACCCGCCUACAUGAAGUCGGAAUUGCUAGUAAUCGCAGAUCAGCAUGCUGCGGUGAAUACGUUCCCGGGCCUUGUACACACCGCCCGUCACGCCAUGGGAGUCGGUAACACCCGAAGCCUGUAGUCUAACCGCAAGGAGGACGCAGUCGAAGGUGGGAUUGAUGACUGGGGUGAAGUCGUAACAAGGUA
rnacentral:rRNA from 1 species